CUCCACUCCUGAUCCACAAUGUGAUCCACCGGCAAGGAGGGAUGCCAAUAAGGCGUCUGAUAAGAUAAGUCUUAUAAAAUAUAUAGGUUUAUGAUAAUUAAAACUGAGCUAACAGAUGAGAAUCCUAGUCAUUGGCCAAGCUGCAUUGAACCUAAUACAAGUUUCUGUGUAUUCAUUUGGGCCAAACUCAGGCAGGUGGCUGGCAUAAAACGCACAUGUGACAGUGGGACUCCGGUGGCUUUUGGUGGAAAGAUUUAUCUUAACAAUGCUUUAUGGGCAUGAUGCAAGAUGCUCCCCUCCAGUCCGGGCUCCAAAGGAGCACCAACCAGAAUGACUUACUUUCUCAUUCUUAAACUCUUCAUUUGGAAUAAAUAACAGUGUUAACCAUGUGGAUGCUUGACUGUGGUUUAAGACCAUGAGUAAUUUUCUAAGAACAAAAUCUCAGUGAGCUCACCAACAGUAAACCCGCCAGCUUCCAUACAGCAGCUUCCUUGGCUCAGGCUCUGAAAUAACUGUAGUAUUUUAGAGUUCCAGCCUUUGUCAGAACGCAAGGACAAGACUUGAAUAAAAUCAUGUUUUCUGUGGAUCUAAACUGAAAUCACAGCUUAUUGAACAGAACAUUUCGAUUUUCAGAGUUGGGAAACUGACACUCAGAGAGAAUGCUGUGCUCAAGAUGAAGAAGCCAGGCCCCUGAUUAAGCUCACACAGCCAAUAACAACAGCAGAGCCAGCAUCAAAAGAGUUAAAGGGAAUCAGUCAGCAGCAGCAUUUCCUUAUUGUUCCACAAAAGCUCAGAGAUGUUUACACAGCCAUGAAAGUCUUCACAGCUCACAGAGGUGAAUUGAGAGCAUCAAAUGCAUGAGCUUUGGUAAGUUCUUGAAAUGGUUCACGUCAUGGACUGUUCGUGUUCUCCGUGCUACCAGAAGAGUCUUAAAUGACCUCAGAUUUCAUCCAGCUGGGAGCUACCUCCAGUUACUACCAGGACUACCAGAGAAACUCAUGCCUUCAUUUCUGUUCUUCCAGAACCACUCCUGAUACCACAGUUUGUAUUAGUCAGGGUUGUCUAGAGGAACAGAACCAGUGUGUGUGUGUGUGUGUGUGUGUGUGUGUGUGUGUGUGUGUGUGUGUGUGUGUGUGUGUGUGUGUAUAGUUUCUCAAUCAUUGGGUGGAUCCGUGGUCAGAGUAAUCCACAGUGACUCUCAUUAGGGAGGCUGGCAAUUUGAUUGAUGCUCAGUUCCCAAGUCUGGGUGCCUCAACAGUCCCCUCCUCCUGCCA
rnacentral:lncRNA from 1 species